UUAGCUUAUUAAAUUUUACUCAGACAACACUUAAUUAAAGAGUUUUGGUUGGCCUCUGACGGGGGCUCGCCAGUCGAAACCGGCGGCAGAACGAAUUCCACGCCCCGCCAAAGCAACAAAGGUAUGUAGACAAAGGGUUGGAGGUUCGGGCAACUAGUACCCUAUCUCAUUAAUGAUCCUUCCGCAGGUUCACCUACGGAAA
rnacentral:misc_RNA from 1 species